UCGUCAUUAACAUUUGGUGAUUUCGGAUUUGUAAAGCGUUUCGAAAAUAUGUAUUCAAAAGUCAACAUCCAUUCUGGGAGACAGGUUAAAGAUUUAGAAAGACCCAAAGAUUAGACUCUUGGAUAUAAGCUUGAUAGAAUCAUAAGAAAGAAAUUGUCCUGUAAACAACUUUGUCGGCAAGAAAAACGUCAAAGUGGAAAUUUGAAAUUUUGAAAUCUUGAAAUACCAAACAUUCGUGCCUGAACCGGGCUAUCCAGAAAUGUAAUAAUUUCGGUAAUAGGAGACGGAUUCUCUAAACCACGACCUAUUGUGUAUGUUUUCAAGCCCAUUAAUGUGGAUUUUCCACUAUUUUCCAUUUUCAAUUCAAAAUAGUGUCCAUCAUUUGCCAGAAAUCAAAAUUCUAAGCUCUACAUUAUAUGGGCUUUCCUUCAAGGAUUCAGAAAAUAUAAUUUCCUUGUCUGUAAGUAAAAUAUCAAAAAAGCCUUAGGGACUUUUCACGUUUCAAGAUGGUGGCACUUCCAGUUGUAUCGAUAGACUUCAUAUUUUGUGUAUGCAUCAGGAAUUCCUCAGCUAGUACAGAAACAAAAUUUCAAGGCAAUCUGGCCUAUAUUUCUUCGAUUUUUAUACGCCCACAUUUUCAUGUGGACGUAUAUUGUCGUCGCCCCUGUCCGUCCGUCCACAAUUGUUUGUGAACAGUUUACAGGUCACAAUUUUUAUCUGAUUUCAAUGAAACUUGAAAUAUAGGUUUAUCACCCUAAGAUCUUGGUUCCUUUUGAUAUUGGCAUGUAUCGAACUGUAACUUCAUGGAUUAUGGCCCCUGAUAGUACGAAAAAUCACGUUUUUAGCUUGUGAACACUGUAGAGGUCACAAUUUUUAUCCGAUUUUGUUGAAACUUGAAAUAUAGGUUUAUCACUUAACGUGUAAGUAAUAACCUAACCUUUCUUCUUAGAUGUAGAGACAAUGAUAUCAUACCUAAAGGACUGUGGCUAAAAUCUUCAGUUUGCACAAUUGCGGCAAAGAAAAUUACUAGUUAUGCCAGCAAGUGCUUAGUUCGAGAACGUAUCCAGUUUUACAGGAACGAAAAACAUUGUAUUAACAUACAAAUCCAAGAACUGCACCAACAAAUUCAAUCAUCUUUGCAUGAGAGAGAUUAUCAGUCCUUUAUCACCAAACUCACCACUACCAAAUCCAACUUACAAAACCAGAUCAAAACUAAACAAGUAAAGAAGUUUAAUAAAUUAAUUAGCUUGAAAAGAAAUACCAUUAAACCUACCAACAAUAAUGAUACCAAUCUUCAAAACGAAUAUCUUACUAAAACUGUCUACAAUAUUAGCAGUAAGGAGCUCACAGACGAUCAGAUAAAUCUUCUGUCCAAGGGUCUCAAAUUCAUUCCUACAGUGACAACCAAGAAUCAUGACACUUUUAUAACCGGGAUAGAGAAGGGCUUACGACAGCUUGCGCCAGGCGGAAAACAGAUUAUCUUAGACAUCAAAUAGCCAACACACUUGCUAAAGCCAAACCACAAGUCAGCAACCUAUGCCGCUCUGAAAGAAAAGCCAUGGAUGAACUCAAGAAGGACAAGUCCAUAACCAUAGUGCCCGCCGAUAAAGGAAAAGUCGCCGUCCUGUUAAACACAGAUGAAUAUCACAGUACUGUCAACAAUCUCCUUAACGACACCUCCAUCUAUCGCAGAUUGCGAAAAGACACCACCAAAAAUCUUGAAACCAAUCUAACAAAACUAAUCAAGGAACUUAAGGAAUCAAACCAUAUAACCAACAGCCUGUUCUACCAACUCAAGCCAAGCCACCCCAGACCCCCAUACGCACGUGCAACCAUAAAAAUACACAAAGAUCCAAUAAAAGCUCGACUAUUGAUAUGCUCCAUAGAUUCUGUGUUUUACAAAGUGGCUCAACACUUAUCAAAACUACUGGCACCUCUAGGGAAAACGGCAGACUCCUUCAUCAAAAACUCCAACGAAUUCUGCAGUAAAAUCAGAGAAAUAGAUCACCCUGGGAAAAUUAUAUCCUAUGACAUUGUUGACCUCUUCACUAACAUUCCGAGAGAUGAAGCUAUAAAGAUACUAAAAACCAGGUUGGAUCAACUGGACACGCCACUUGACACCAGUCUUACUACAGAAAGCAACACCAAAUUAGUAGCAGAAUGCCUUAACUCUACCUAUUUUACCUGGGAAUUAGACACCUAUGAACAAGUGCGAGGUCUCCCAAUGGGUAGCCCUUUGUCACCUCUUAUGAGUGAAAUCUACAUGACAGCUUUUGAAGAAAGAGUGCUAGCUACAGCUCCUAUAACACCCUCUAAUUGGUACAGAAAAGUGGACAACACACUAGUCAUCCUCAAGCCAGACGAAGAUCCUACAAUUCUUCUAAACUACCUAAACAGCCAACACCCCCAUAUCAAAUUCUCUAUGGAAACAGAAACAGACCUAGGGAUACCAUUUUUAGAUGUUGAUAUUAAGAAAAAUAACAACCAGCUUGAAACAUCAGUAUACAGGAAGCCAACGCACACCAACCAGUACAUCCAUUUCAACUCAAACCACAGCCUCAAUAUUAAAACAGCCAUCAUAACAACAUUAGUAACCCGUGCAACCAACAUCUGUCACCCAGCCUUUUUAGACAAAGAACUCAACCAAAUUCAAGAAUCCUUGUGUCUCCUGAAUAAAUAUCCACAAUCGCUAGUAAAAAGAGUAAUCCAAUCAGUUCUCCAUCCAACAAAACCAACAGCUAAGCAGAGACCUGAUAAACCUGAAAUACAUGUGAAAUACAUGUUAGUAUACCAUUUAUAGGCAAAACUUCCUACCAUAUCCGAUGACUCUUGAGACAAGCUGGAAUAGAAACUGGUUUUAAAUAUGGGGAAACACUAAAGGGAAUCUUAAAAGCUAACGGGAAAUCAGCCUCAACAAACUCAAACCAAACAAAAGGAUAUGUAUAUUAAAUAACCUGCUCCUGCUCAUCAACUUACAUUGGAGAAACUAAAAGGCCUUUAGAACAUCAAGCUAAGUCAUCUAAUAACACAUCUGCUGUGGCUCAACACCUCAGAGACAACCCGCGUCAUAAAGUUAACUGGGAUAGUGUUAAAAUCUUAGACUGCAACAUACACAACAAAAAAAAGUAUUCAAAACUGGUAAAUGGCAAAUAUCUAACAGCAUUGCACCUCCAUGUUGAAUUGAUGGUGAAAGUGUAUUGCACCCAGUAAUGAAGGGUUUCAUAUUCAGACAUCAAAACAAACAGAACAAUGUGAAAUCUUCAGAAAAUGUCAAAUCCCUUUUCCACACCACAUAACAGGUUGUUAGAAAUGUUGAUGUGCCGACAAAGGGAGAAUCAAAGAAUCGCAACAGAAAAGAGUUUUGGAUGAAGCUGCUCGUAAAAGAAGACAAAGAAAAGCUCUUGAAGCUUUAGAAUCGGAUAACUUUCAAGAUGAUCCUCAUGCAGAUUUAAAAAUGAGCAAAAAAGCUCCUAAGUUUGAAGAAUCGAUUGGAGAACCAACAAAUAUGAAGAAAAAGCGAAAAUCAAAAGGAGAAUUUAAACAGAGAUAUAGAAAGAAUUUUGCUGCAUUAUUGGAAGAAGAAGUAAGUGUGCAACAAGUACACAGUGAACCACCUAAUUACUUCAGUGCUGCUGUUCCACCAUCUGUUAUUCCUCCCAGACAUUUCUGUGCUGUUUGUGGAUAUCC